rnacentral:rRNA from 1 species
CGCGCGGCCGGCGGGGCGGGGGCACGGGGGGAGAGUUUGAUCCUGGCUCAGGACGAACGCGGGCGGCGUGCUUAACACCUGCAAGUCGAACGGAAAGGUCUCUUUGGAGAUACUCGAGUGGCGAACGGGUGAGUAACACGUGGGUGAUCUACCCUGCACUUUGGGAUAAGCCUGGGAAACUGGGUCUAAUACCGGAUAGGACCACGGGAUGCAUGUCCUGUGGUGGAAAGCGUUUAGCGGUGUGGGAUGGGCCCGCGGCCUAUCAGCUUGUUGGUGGGGUGAUGGCCUACCAAGGCGACGACGGGUAGCCGGCCUGAGAGGGUGUCCGGCCACACUGGGAACUGAGAUACGGCCCAGACUCCUACGGGAGGCAGCAGUUGGGGAUAUUGCACAAUGGGCGCAAUCCUGAUGCAGCG